rnacentral:rRNA from 1 species
CGGGAGGCUGCACCAUUGGGGAAUAUUGCACAAUGGAGGAAACUCUGAUGCAGCAACGCCGCGUGGAGGAUGACACUUUUCGGAGCGUAAACUCCUUUUAUAUAGGAAGAAGAUGACGGUACUAUAUGAAUAAGCGCCGGCUAACUCCGUGCCAGCAGCCGCGGUAAUACGGAGGGCGCAAGCGUUACUCGGAAUCACUGGGCGUAAAGAGCGUGUAGGCGGAUUAAAAAGUCAGAAGUGAAAUCCUAUAGCUUAACUAUAGAACUGCUUCUGAAACUCUUAAUCUAGAAUAUGGGAGAGGUAGAUGGAAUUUCUGGUGUAGGGGUAAAAUCCGUAGAGAUCAGAAGGAAUACCGAUUGCGAAGGCGAUCUACUAGAACAUUAUUGACGCUGAGACGCGAAAGCGUGGGGAGCAAACAGGAUUAGAUACCCGAGUAGUC